rnacentral:rRNA from 1 species
UACGUAGGGGGCAAGCGUUGUCCGGAUUCAUUGGGCGUAAAGAGCGUGUAGGCGGCCAGGUAGGUCGGUUGUGAAAACUGGAGGCUCAACCUUCAGAGGUCGACCGAAACCAUCUGGCUAGAGUCCGGGAGAGGAGAGUGGAAUUCCUGGUGUAGCGGUGAAAUGCGCAGAUAUCUGGAGGAACACCGGUGGCGAAGGCGGCAUCCUGGACCGGUAUUGACGCUGAUGCGCGAAAGCCAGGGGAGCAAACGGG